rnacentral:rRNA from 1 species
AUUGAACGCUGGCGGUAUGCUUAACACAUGCAAGUCGAACGGUAGCAGGCCUUCGGGCGCUGACGAGUGGCGGACGGGUGAGUAACGCGUAGGAAUCUGCCUCAUAGUGGGGGACAACGUGGGGAAACUCACGCUAAUACCGCAUACGCCCUACGGGGGAAAGCGGGGGAUCUUCGGACCUCGCGCUAUGAGAUGAGCCUGCGUUAGAUUAGCUAGUUGGUAGGGUAAAGCCCUACCAAGGCGACGAUCUAUAGCUGGUCUGAGAGGACGAUCAGCCACACUGGGACUGAGACACGGCCCAGACUCCUACGGGAGGCAGCAGUGGGGAAUAUUGGACAAUGGGCGCAAGCCUGAUCCAGCAAUACCGCGUGUGUGAAGAAGGCCCUAGGGUUGUAAAGCACUUUCAAUAGGGAGGAAAACCUGUCGGUCAAUACCCGGCAGCUUGACAUUACCUAUACAAGAAGCACCGGCUAACUCCGUGCCAGCCGCCGCAGUAAAAC